rnacentral:rRNA from 1 species
GGCGAGCGGCGGACGGGUGAGUAAUGUCUGGGAAACUGCCUGAUGGAGGGGGAUAACCGCUGGAAACGGUGGCUAAUACCGCAUAACGUCGCAAGACCAAAGAGGGGGACCUUCGGGCCUCUUGCCAUCAGAUGUGCCCCAGAUGGGAUUAGCUAGUAGGUGAGGUAAUGGCUCACCUAGGCGACGAUCCCUAGCUGGUCUGAGAGGAUGACCAGCCACACUGGAACUGAGACACGGUCCAG